rnacentral:lncRNA from 1 species
CACGUUCAGCUUGCCACCACCGAUAAACACCCUAGGUAAUCGCCGGAAACCGCAUUCCUUAAGCUCAGUUUCGUUUCCGUUUAGUAAAUCGCACAUAACUUUCUCACCGUGAUGAAUCUCGUGAAUCCAAGACCACCAUCGUGUUCCUCUCAACGAGACGAAUCCGUAGCCACCGAAAACGCCUCAAUCAGAGCCCGGGCGAAGCCGCACGCGCCUCCAGAAGUUUCGCCACUGCGCGCGCGUGAGGUACACGCGCCGCCGCCGGACCACCGUCCUCCGCCGCAGCUCCGCUGCCGGACCACCGUC